GAUUUCAUCAUAUGUUAACUAUGUGCCCUUGGGCAUAUAGAUUCCUUUUCUGGAAAACAGAUGUUUUAUUCAUGCUUUAACUCUUUAUCUCAUGGAAUAUUUGAGAAGUCCAAAGAAGCAAAUAAAAUAUAUGAAGGCACCCGCUACAACAUGGAGGGCUAGGAAGGUAUUGGCGCUCAUCAAUGGAAUAUUAUUGUGGCUGUGGUAUUUUAUUGGCCUCCAUUUGGAAAAGAUUAAAACUCUAAGGAGGUGCUGUCAUGAAACUGCAAGGAGACGGUCACUUCUUGGAUUGCGCUUCCCGCCUCUGGCUUGAGAAGCACCUACUCAGGAGUCGUGGAUCCCUGGCUGUACCCCUGCUCCUGCCAGAUACUGCCUGCCUCCCUGCUACAAACAGCCCGGGAAUCUGUGGUUAGAACCACUCUUUGUUGGGCGCAGUGGCUCAUGCCUAUAAUCCCAGAACUUGGGAUGCCAAGGCAGGUGGAACAACUUGAGGUCAAGAGUUCAAGACCAGCCUGGCCAGCAUGGUGAAAUUCCAUUUCUACUAAAAAUACAAAAUUAGCUGGGCGUGGGGCAUGCACCUGUAAUCCCAGCUACUCAGGAGGCUGAGGCAGAAGCAUCUCUUGAACUGGGAGGAAGAGGUUGCAGUGAGUUGAGGUCACAUCACUGCACCCCAGCCUGGGUGACAGAGCAAGGCCAUUAUCUCAUUGCAUCCCAACGAGAGGAGAAGAAGGGCAGGAUGCAUCUACUGUCUCUAUCUGAGGUAAAUACAGACUCAGAGACUCACAUGGGCCUUGAGUGGCAGCACAGAGUUGGAACAAGACCCGGCUCUUUUUAGAGCUCUUUCCUCAUGAUGACCUUGUUUCCUGACUCAUUUAUAUGUGAUAUAUGUGAGCAUCUGCCCAUUACAUGUGUCUGCAUGUAUGUGUGUGUUACUCAAAAUAACACAUUGUGCCAUUUGAACUGCAGCAUCUUAUGGCUAUAAGGCACCCUAGAUAUCACCCGCCCCCCAAAAAAGAACCACUCUCUCAAGUCUCUCAGCUUCCUGCAUGCCCCAGGGCUAGUCUCAUCUGCUUCUCAUCCUUGCUGACCUCACAUUCCAACUAGCCGCCUCAUCUGAUUAUGAAGCUCAUCUUAUGGUCAGACAGUCACCUGUGCUCUCCCCACCCUACACCUCUUCCUCUCCACCUCUGACCUUAGCUGCCUUCCACAGGGCUUUGCAUUUGUUUCUCAAUGUCCGCUCAAGGGCAACCUACUAAUCUGAGCCCCAGGGAGGCCCUGGGAGCAGAGGGGAAGCUGGAGAAUGUUUGUCCGGCUGCCAUUGACAUGGCUUUUCUUGCCAUUCUCAAACUCCCUGAAAGUCAAUUACAAAUCCCUUUUGUAAAGCCAGUAGAAAAGACGCUAUUUUUUCUAUACUUGGAUGGACACUCAAGAGGUGACUUGAUAGUACUUAAUUGUGUGGUUUCAACAAGUCAUUGAAUUCUCCCAAGUCUGUGUCCUUCUCCAUUAGAAAAGGGUGACAGGAGUUCCAAAUUUACGAGGUAAAUGUGAGCCAUGUGAUCUGAUGUAGAGAGGGCAUUUCAACAAAUAGCUGCCUCCGCAGAUGCUUUCAAUCAAUGUUAGCUACCAUUGUUCUCUUUUAAGUAUAUCAGGCAUAUUCUCGUGCAAUAAUGUAUAGUAGAAAGUCUUAUUCUAAGGAAUUCCACUAAAAUAUUAUUCUUAGCAGUGAUGUAGAAAUACUCAGAAGUUUUUAUUUAGCAAGGUAAUCAUUGCAAACACAGACCUUCAACAGCAACAAAAAAGACAAUAUUGAAAAUUUUGUUUCAGGAAGAAUGUGGGUCAGGAUGCAAGAAUGAUUAUGUUUAAGGAAUAGCAAGUGGCUCCAACAGGCAUCCAAGUUUCUACAGGUUAGAAAGCACCAAUUAUUCUUUUUCCUAUAAUCAAAAGUUUCUCAUCCACAGUGGAUUCUGGGCCUAUGGCUGAUGGUGGGAUAUGGAUUUCUUAUUAGGUGCCACAUUCUUAUCAACAUGUUUAAAUAAAAUAUCAAUGUUAGUAGCAUUGCUGCAUAUGAUUUUUGCCUGGCAAACAACAAUGAAUAGAAAUUUAUUUUAAAGUGGAAACAGCUCUGAGGGGGGAUAAAAAUAGUCCAGCUAUGUUUAUGAAGUAGACUCCACAGAGAACAGGGUGACCCUGCAUAACCAAGCUUAGCUAAACCUGUAGAUCCACUGACAACUGUCCAUAUGUUUUAUUCUUGCCCAAGCCAGCAUCUAGGAUUCUGGAAGAUGACAGUCCUAUCAAAUAGAAAGUUUUCAAGAUAGUAUUUCAAUAAAAGCACAUUUUCCUAUACAGGUAACUUUCCGCUCCUGAUAAUGCUCUUCCUGUGUAGGGCCCUAGGGAGUCCUCCACAUUUCCUUAAUCCACGUAAGAUAUUCAAUACUCUACCCAAGAAUAGAGGGGCCAUUAUCUCAUUGCAUCCCAAAGAGAGGAGGAGGAGGGCAGGAUGCAUCUAUUGUCUCUAUCUGAGGUAAAUACAGACUCAGAGAGUCACAUGGGCUUUGAGUGGCACCACAGAGUUGGAACAAGACCCAGAUCUUUUUAGAGCUCUUUCCUCAUGAUGACCUUGUUUUCUGACUCACUUACAUGUGAUAUAUGUGAGCAUCUGCCCAUUAUAUGUCUCUGCAUAUAUGUGUGUAUUACUCUAACACAUGGUGCCAUUUGAACUGUAGCAUCUUAUGGCUAUAAGGCACCCUAGAUAUCAACAUAUCGUCCUUUCAAAGGUAAUGUAACUUUCACUCAAAGAAAUAGAUUUCUUUUUUCAAAAUCAGAUUUCUAAUUAUUACUAAAGGUGGGAUCAAAAUCCAUCUUUUAGCAAUCAAUUCUGUAUAUUAUGCUGUAAGUGGCCCAAAAACAUACAAUUUAACCCUUCAUUACCUACUUUAUUAUUAACUGUUGUAUUAUCUUGACUCUUGAUUUAUUAAUACAGUUGUAAUUGCCUUUGCAUUCCAAAAUAUUCAAUGUUAACAGCAUUAUUUAUGCUCAAUAGAUAUUUGUUGUUACAUUAAAUCGAUACAAAUUGAGAGUCAAGAAAACAAAUCACUGCAUACACACACAUUCUUAUGAAGCAUCAAAUAUGGUAAUUAGAUAUAGGUCUGUUUGGAAACCAAAUCUAUUCUCCAAAGAAAAACAGUUACAAAAGGAAGCUUCUCAGGUCAGCUCAUAUGAUCUCAGCUUAGUUCAGUUGCACCCUGUGUGGGUUUACAAUGCACGGUAAAAGAAUGCUGAACUGAAUCUCAAGCAAAUUUUGAGUUAUACUGUUGACGCUAAUUAGCUGUAACACCUUGGGUAAUUUAUUAAUUUCAUGGGAUCCAGUUUUUUAAAUCUCAAAAGCAUAAGGGUUAAACUAGAAAUCCUCAUCCAUUUUACCUUAAAGGAUUCAAAUGGACUUCAGUAACAUUCAUGGAUAAGCAAGUGUGCCAUGCAGAUAGGGAAAGGUUACCAUUUGUAUUCUAAAAACUAACUGUAAAUUAUAGCAUACUUCUCUACACAAAAACUUGGAUACAGCUGUUCACAAAAGCAUUAUUCAUAAUAGCCCAAAAGUAGAAACAGGUGAAAUAUUCAUCAACUGCUAAACGGAUGAACAAAAUGUGGCAUUUCCAUAUAAUGGAAUGUUAUUUAGCCAUAAAAUUAAAUGAAGUAUUGACACGUGCUACACAACAUGGAUGGACCUUGAAAACAUUGUCCCAAGUAAAAAUGUCAGUUGCAAAAAACACAUAUAUUGUAUGAUUCCAUUUAUAUGAAAUGUCCAAAAUAGGCAAAUCUAUACAGACAGAAAGCAGAUUAGUGUCUGUGUAGAGCUGAGAUGGGGCAGUGGGGAGUGACUGCUAGCGUGCUAACAACACCUCUGUGGAAAACAAGUCAAGGGCCAAUGAGUGUGAUGCCAGAGCAUUUGGAAUCCCAUAAACUGAGGGCUCCAAGUCAGUGGAGUCCUAUUUAUCAAUGACAUUUAAUCAAGAAUAACAGAAAAGACUUGUCUCCCCCUUUUGUCCUGCCUUCUUGCUUUUCACCAGCAUGCUCUUUCCCAGGGACAGCAAGGAGGGAGGAGAAAGCCCUUGGCACCCGUACAUUUUCCUCUGAGCCUAAUUUCCAUAAAUCAGAAAAUGCUUGCAAUAUGAUUUAACAAUUACUAAUGAAAAUAUCGAGAAUUUCAUAUCAGCUACUUAUUUUGAGUAGUUGAGAAAUAAUGAAGCAAACAAAAAAAUUCAAAAGAGCUAAUUAGAUGAAUUUAACGUGUAUAUUGCAAGGAGAAUCAUAUUUUGCACAUUAACUAACAGAUCAAAAAGCAUGUAAUUUUAUGCUUAAAAGCACACUUUCAAACACAAGAUACUUUAGGCUUUGUUUGAAGCUACAUUUACACUGUUAUGAAGGCCAUAAUCUUUGCUUUGGGGACCCAAAUGGAGAAAUUUCUCUGAUAAUAAGAAUUAUCUUUCUACUCUAUGACCAGUAAUGAUUUAUCUGUAAUUAUGUGCUAUACUGUUUUUGCCUAAGAGUGAUCCUAACUACAUUUCAUAGUAGUAAAUUCUUGGAUUAGAAGGAAAAUGUUGGCUGGGCGUAGUGGCUCACGCCUG
rnacentral:lncRNA from 10 species